GACGAACGCUGGCGGCGUGCCUAAUACAUGCAAGUCGAACGCAGUGGGGACGGGUGAGUAACACGUGGGUAACCUCCCAUCAGAGGGGAUAACACUUGGAAACAGGUGCUAAACCGAUACUGAUGGAUGGAACCGCGGUGCAUUAGCGAGUUGGUGAGGCAACGGCUCACCAAGGCCCAGAUGCAUAGCCGACAUAAGAGUGUGAUCAGCCGCCCGGGUACUGAGCCACGGCCCAGAGUCCUACGGGAGGCAGCAGUAGGGAAUCUUCGGCAAUGGACGAAAGUCUGACCGAGCAACGCCGCGUGAGUGACGAAGGUUUUCGGACCGUAAAACACUGUUGUUAGAGAAGCGGUAUCUAACCAGAAAGCCACGGCUAACUACGUGCCAGCAGCCGCGGUAAUUC
rnacentral:rRNA from 1 species